CCAACCCAACUCUCUUCCAUUCAACACACCUCUCUCUUACGGUCCAUCAAGUUUACUCUCUUCGAACAAGGCAAAACCCUAGCAACAUGCUGAUCAACUCCAAUGACCUUGAAGAACAAUUCUGUGGGCUUCCAUGGCCUCCUCUUGAUGAAGAGACCCUUUUCAUCAUUCCCAUGAAGUUUGACCUUUCCUAUUUCUUUGAAGAUUUUGGAGAUACCAACAGCACAAAGAAGAAAAGGCAAAACCCAACUCAACAUGGAGUUGGCAAACAGAUGAAGAGGCUCAAGGAAGUUCUGAAGCCAGACCAAACAUGUUGGACUGAAUUCAAACCUAAGGAGACAGGUCAAACUAUAUCAGAACCAAACUUGAAGGAAGAAAAGUUGAAGGGCAUUAGAAUUGAGACUUGAGUCAGGGAAGAGAAAACCUUCAUCAAGCAGAUCGAGAGUUUGAGCAAUGCCAAUAGAUUAGCUUAAAAGCAUACGGUAAAGAAUGUGAUGACGCUGUCGAGUUGUCCACAUGCAUGGAGGAUCGAUCCUUGGGAGUUGUUGGCCUGUUGUCUUGUGCAAUCGGCAUGGACAUGAGAUAUGGCUUUCAGUGAUUGCAGUAUCAAAAAUUUGAGAAUUUUUUAAGGUUACUUUUUGCAGAGUCCGUAAGUGCAUUAUGGAUGAUGGGAUGUGUUGCUUUGUGGAUUGCCAAUUUCUCGAUUGCAUCCCACUAACCUUUUUUCUCUUUUAGGAAAUUAAUGUGUGUAUAGGUGUCCAGACUCCAUACCCGUGUAAGCUUUUUGGAAAAAAAAAAUUAAUAAAUAAAUAUUUUUUGAGUAAUUAUUAAGUCAUCUCACAGCACGGAUAUGUAAUAUUCUCAACGAUGUCAUAUCAUUAAAAAUUAGCAAAUAAUAAUAUUUUGUUGAAGAAGUUGUGUGAUUGUGCUUGUGCAUUUCUGUUA